AUGGACCAUUCCAUCCCUUAUUCCCGUGGCUAUGCAUCGGAUUCGGAUGACGAAGGUCCCGAUGAACAAGUUGAUGAGGAGGGGUUCACGGUGAAGGAGGCCGAAGCUUUCGAGAAGGUAUUCGAUCGGGAUCAUUGGACUACAUUGUUCAAGGAUGUUAGUCUCGCGGAUGAAGCCGUGGUAGAUGGUGGCCAAGGUAUAUCUCUUGGGCCAAGCUCUCACCGUGAUUUGGUCUCUUGGGCCAAGCUCUCACCGUGA
rnacentral:rRNA from 1 species